AAGGGUGCAAAAUGGGAGUGAUAUAAUUGGCACUUGAUAAUCGGGACAACCUAUGCACUCAACUCUGGUCAGGAUCUCACAAUUGAAGGGUGCAAGUGUGGAAGUGUGAGUAUUAGGAUUGGACCUUCAGCUACAGUGAGCAACGUGCAUUUUGGGUAGUCAUGUUUUAGUUAGUUUGUUCUAUUUUGGGGUGUUUAGGCAUGUUUAUUUUGGGGGUUAUGUUGUUCUUAGUUAUUACUUUGUUCACGUUGUGCACAUUGUUUUUGUGGUGUUGUUGUACCAUGUUGGCACCGUUAGUGAGGAGGUCGGGUUAGGGUUACGACCAAGCCCCCACAAUGCGGCUCAGAAAUUGGUCUCAACCCGGAAGUAAGAAAAAUUGCAGUUCCACCCUCAUCCACUGGGGGCUGGUGUCAGAAGCGAGCAAAUCCUCACUGUCUCCCAUGUUAAAAAUACCAAUUUCACAGCAGAAAUAAACAUGUUUACAGCCUGGUACCAAAACAUGUUUUUUGUUUAAAUGAUCUAGUUUACACUCAUGACAACUCUGAGGGGGGUGAAUCUUUUUUCUCACUCUUCUAUUUAAGUGUAUUAAAAGCCUAAAAUUCUGUAUAAUUAAUGAGCAUCAGACCCACGUGACCACAGAGCUAGCUCCGUGGAAAGGCCUCAGUAGAGCCUCGGUCUCUCCUGGAAACUGUUUCGGGAUUUUGAGUCUCUCUGCUUGUGUAUUCUGUUUUGGAUAUUAUUUGUGCAAUUGUUGGACAAAAUGACUUGCUGUGGCAUUAAUUGCACUAAUAGAGCAUCCAAGGAGUCUCCACUUCAUUUUUUUCGGUAAGUUAAAUUAUGUGUAUGUAUUUUAGGUCACUGCCGCCUUUAAACUAGCUGAGUUUAUCGAAGUAGCUAGCUAACUAUCAUUUUAACAUGUAGCAUGUACUGUUUAACCAUGAAAUUUAAAUGUAAAAUACGGUAAAAUAAUUAUUAGGGCAUAUGUCGAUGGGUACAAGGGUAAAACCCAGUGCAUUUAAGAUAAAAAUGGGUUGAAAUAUGACGGAGCUCUUGGAGGGACACUUCUGUGUUCCAUUCUUCCACCCGGUUCUCCCCGGCGGUCAGCCCAGUGCAUGUCUGACCGAUGCGGCGCCUACUAGCUGCUGCACGGGCUGACCGCUCGUGGAGCUCUCGGACGGGGCUGACCGCUUGUGGAGCUCUCGGACUCGUAGAGAGACCUGACCGCAGAAAUACUGCAGCUCAAUUCCCUACCUAAAUGCAAAGUUUGAGAGACGUGGUGCACUUCCUUCGGGCUAAUUUGUCAAGUUCACAAAAUGUGGAGCGGGAUGGUUAGAAUCAGCGGCGAAUCGGAACAUAUCUCGAAGCCCUGGCCGACGAAACGGUCCACAUGACUAUUACUGUCAGGCUCGGAGAAAAUUCGGGCUGCUUUUGUGUCAGUCGGUAAUUCUGCUAACAGUGACUCUAACGCAGCACUAGUUGACAGACAGCAAUACAGCAUGAAAUCCAGCUUUACACCAAAGCGUGACCCGGUUCUGUAAGGAAUUCUGUUCAGGAGGUCGCAUUUCAGGCUCUCUUCACAUCAUAUGUGACUGACUUUUACGUUAUAACGAUCACACACUAGGAGUGUUAUAAAGCGCCUAUAUAGGAGAGUGUAUUUUGUACAUUAUCUGACUUUAUAAACUCCAACAACAACGUGCUUCUAUUUUAUUCAGGCUAAAUCUACCCAAGACACUGGCUGUCAGACUGAUUUAGUAGUCUUCAAGAAUGCACUUGUCCAGGCUGAGUGAUGUUUAGGUACGUUUUGAUAAGGUCUGUGCAUCUCUCAUUUCAUGACGUAACUUUUCAUAUUUUAGUUCCUGCGUGCCUUCAAUGUGCAGGGACUGUCCAAGCAGACAUUCUGUCGACAUCAGGCAAAGCCACCCAACAGUGAGCUGGUAGUGGAAUCUAGAGCAAGCUGAUAUCAUCCAGGAGGCUACUGAAUCUGGACCUGUGACUCUUGGUGGUGACAUGCGAGCUGAUUCACCUGGUGAAUACGUUUAAAUUUAUUUAUUUUAUUCCUUUGCUAUCAAAUGUAAAUUAAGUAAUAACUUGCAUUUCUGAAGGACACUCAGCCAAAUAUGGCAGCUACACCAUGAUGGAUCUCAAAAGGAACUAAGUUAUUGAUAUCCAACUCGUACAGAGCAAUGAAGUUGGAAAUAGUGUACGAAUGGAGAAGGAGGGAUUUGUGCAAAGUCUGAGCACACUUUUGGAGAGGGGGGUCGAUGUGCAGCAAGUUGUGACUGACCGCCACACAUGGGUGCAGAAGUAUUUGCGUGAGGAAAAAAAGGAAAUCAGUCGCUACUUUGACCCCUGGCACAUGGGAAAAGGUAGGGCAGGGGCCGGACUGGACCGCCUUGUCCCUUGGGGCCCUGCGCACACUCAUUUGAACGCUUUUUUCCCCUUGGCGUCAUCAUCAGGGUUUUGUAAUAAAUGUACCUUUUUAAUUUGCUUUGGCUGUCGCACUGCUUGCCUUGUUUUUUUAGAACCUAUUUUAAUCCUUUUAAUAUUAGUGGCACCUUCCAUUCCACCUGGAUCAUGUCAGAUACAUAACCCAAACCAAUAUUACAAUAACAUAAACUCUUACACAAAACGCUCCUCUUGAUAGAGCAAAUCUGUUCAGCACAUUCUGACAGACAGACCACCUUUCUUCUGUCAUGCUGAUGUACAGGACAUUCUUAGAGUUUUUCUUUUUAAAGAUAAAUAGUAUUACAUUUAAAGAGCAAUACUUUCACAUUAUCAUUUUCCCACACUUUCUGUAUACCUGUAUUUUGUUGUUUUUCAAUAAAGAAUGACAAAUUAUUUAAGUUUAUGGUUUUUUUUAACACACAAAUAUCUAUCUGUAAAAAUAUCUACAAAGCUAAUAUUUACAUAACAAGUAUGAUUCGGUUUUGAAAUACGGCACUCUGUUUAUUUUAGUAAGAUUUUUAAACCAAGUAAAGUUAGUAAAGAACACAUUUCUAUUGGCUAAGAAACUGUUGGACAUAAAACAGGCCUGUCGUAGAAACAACUUGGCAUAAAUGAUUCUUCCUUUUUUGUCUUAACCAAAGAAAUUCCAGUAAUUGAGCAAAAACAUUUAUUUUUUUACAUCACAUUUUAUAAAAUAACAGGACACAAAGUGUCGGGACAUUUAAAAAAUACUUAAAGUAAUAAAAGGGGCCCAGAGAGCUGCAGAGUGAGUGGAACAUUGGGUUGUGAAGGAAGAACAGUUCUCAACAGUGAUGUGAGGGUGGAGAAGGUGAAGCCGGUGCAGGUCCUCCUUCAUGUUCACCAGCUUCACACUGCUGACCACCUCCAUGUCAUUGCCGCCACCGUGGAUGAGAAGAACAUCAGGAGCUGCUCUUCCAUGCAUGGAGUUGAAAAUGAAGGGGAGAAGGUCUUUCCACCUCAGUCCGCCCCAACCGAACCAGGAGACACGGACUUCAGGGAGGCCAAGGUUGUCUCAGAGGGUCUCUGCAGCUCUCUGGGCACCACGCCUCACUCAGCUGCCACCGAUGAUCCAAAUGGCUAUGGAGAAAAAAAUAACAGGUUUGGCCUAGCUGUUUAAAGUACAAAACCAUACAUGAAGUGGUCAAGACAGGUAUUUGGUACUUACACUUGCUGCGUUGUGUAGCUGAUGUUGGAGACACACAGGCUGCCAUGGUGACCUUUUAACACAUCUAAGAAAAAAAAUGUAAUAAAAGAAUGAAACUUAAAAACUCCCAGACCUCAUGUCAUAUUUACUAAUCAGCUAUGGCUGAUUUUUGUUUGGAUUACAGUGAGUUACACUAAUUCUAAUAUAUUUUUAUUUCUAUUACACGUACAUACUUUUUAACUGUUAUUUUCACAUGACUGUUAUUAAUGUUGGGGUUAUUAGGAGCGAACAAUUCGUAAGCUUUAACUUACUUUUGGAUUCUUCAAUAAAUUCUGUAAAUAUGGGAAUAUUUACUGAUUUAUUAAUUAAUUAAGAUAUUCUUAGAUAUACGGGGCACCAUUCCCCUUUAACCGGGGAAAAAUUGAAUCCAAAACUCUUAUCAGUCUUUCUUGAAGUUCGUAGAAUCCUUGGAGCAGAGACUUCUCUUCGACACAACAAAGCUACUGGAGACGAAAAUCUGAAUUUUAUAACGUUUAAUUAACAAUUUGUCAAAUGAAUAAACAGUGGCAUAGAUGAAUAAUAACCAUGUGAUAUAAUAAAAGGAUGUAUAUUCAAAAUAA